UUCCUACGGGGCGCAGCAGUGAGGAAUAUUGGUCAAUGGGAGGAAUCCUGAACCAGCCAUGCCGCGUGCAGGACGACGGCUCUACGAGUUGUAAACUGCUUUUGUACCGGGGUAAAAUGCCUUACGAGUAGGGUUUUGAAAGUACGGUACGAAUAAGGAUCGGCUAACUCCGUGCCAGCAGCCGCGGUAAUACGGAGGAUCCGAGCGUUAUCCGGAUUUAUUGGGUUUAAAGGGUGCGUAGGCGGACUGCCAAGUCAGCGGUAAAAUUGCGGGGCUCAACCCCGUCGAGCCGUUGAAACUGGCGG
rnacentral:rRNA from 1 species